rnacentral:rRNA from 1 species
GAUCCUGGCUCAGAAUCAACGCUGGCGGCGUGCCUCAGACAUGCAAGUCGAACGAUUAAGACUCCCUUCGGGGAGUGUAUAAAGUGGCGCACGGGUGAGUAACACGUAAGUAAUCUACCUUCGAGUGGGGAAUAACGUUCGGAAACGAACGCUAAUACCGCAUAAUGCAGCGGCAUCGCAAGAUGACAGUUGUUAAAGGAAUUUAUUUCGCUUGAAGAGGAGCUUGCGGCAGAUUAGCUAGUUGGUAAGGUAACGGCUUACCAAGGCUACGAUCUGUAUCCGGCCUGAGAGGGCGGUCGGACACACUGACACUGAAUAACGGGUCAGACUCCUACGGGAGGCAGCAGUCGGGAAUUUUGGGCAAUGGGCGAAAGCCUGACCCAGCAACGCCGCGUGAGGGAUGAAGUAUUUCGGUAUGUAAACCUCGAAAGAAUAGGAAGAAUAAAUGACGGUACUAUUUAUAAGCUCCGGCUAACUACGUGCCAGCAGCCGCGGUAAUACGUAGGGAGCAAGCGUUGUUCGGAUUUACUGGGCGUAAAGGGCGCGUAGGCGGCGCGGUAAGUCACUUGUGAAAUCUCUGAGCUUAACUCAGAACGGCCAAGUGAUACUGCAGUGCUAGAGUGCAGAAGGGGCAAUCGGAAUUCUUGGUGUAGCGGUGAAAUGCGUAGAUAUCAAGAGGAACACCUGAGG